rnacentral:siRNA from 1 species
UGUAAGUGCCACUUCUAGCUCGAG